GCAGUGCCCCAGAGUGGGCUCUUCUCCCCUCAGACUCCUGGUCACUGGGGAAUGGCGCGGGGCCAGAGUGCGCCUCCCGAUCAUCCACCCUCUACCUACAGGGUAAGGGAUGCCAGAACAACCCAGCCGACCUAGAGCGGCCCUGCCUGCAUAGUCAGUCCAGGCUGGCCAGGGUCAGAAGCUCCUGGUCCUGCCAAGUACAGAAAUCCAGGCCAACCGUGACCUCAGCUCACUACCUCUCCAGGCACUUUUACAGCUUGCCUGUCACCAGGAGCCUCUUGUUUUCCCCGAACCUGAGUUCCAGCUCUCUAAUGCAGGAAGUGAUGCUGGGGAGAGCUUAGCUAACCUUCCUGCUCAUGGCUGAGCCUUGGAAGGAAGGCGCUGUGGAGACCGGGAGCAUCACGCUUGUGGACCUUGGUCGUAAGAAAAGGCCUGCAGGUGUCUGCUGGGAUAUUCUGGAAAAGCCCUUCUGGGAAGUUGAAUUUGUUUAGCAUGAACCUUUGUUUUGUGCAUGUAAAGGGAAGCAAAUCAUUAAAUUAUUAAGGGAAGACGC
rnacentral:sRNA from 1 species